rnacentral:rRNA from 1 species
GAUGAACGCUAGCGAUAGGCUUAACACAUGCAAGUCGAGGGGCAGCAUGGUCUUAGCUUGCUAAGACUGAUGGCGACCGGCGCACGGGUGCGUAACGCGUAUGCAACUUGCCUCACAGAGGGGGAUAACCCGUCGAAAGACGGACUAAUACCGCGUACACUCCAUCUUGGGCAUCCAAGGUAGAGGAAAUGAAAUUCGCUGUGAGAUAGGCAUGCGUCCCAUUAGCUAGUUGGUGAGGUAACGGCUCACCAAGGCGACGAUGGGUAGGGGAACUGAGAGGUUGACCCCCCACCCUGGUACUGAGACACGGACCAGACUCCUACGGGAGGCAGCAGUGAGGAAUAUUGGUCAAUGGGCGAGAGCCUGAACCAGCCAAGUCGCGUGAAGGAUGACUGUCUUAUGGAUUGUAAACUUCUUUUAUACGGGAAUAACAAGAGUCACGUGUGACUCCCUGCAUGUACCGUAUGAAUAAGCAUCGGCUAACUCCGUG